AUGGAGCAGAGGAGCCUGCUCGCCUCGGCGGUGGGCAUGGGCGUGGGCGUCGGGCUGGGGCUCGCGUCGGCGAGGUGGGCGAAGCCGGCGCACGCGGCCGACGGGGGCUCUGGCGCCGGCGCCGGCGCCGCGGAGGUGGAGGCGGAGCUGCGGCGGCUGCUGCUGGACGGCCGCGACAGCGAGGUCACCUUCGACGAGUUCCACCACCGCCACUGCUACCUCAGCGAGCAGACCAAGGAGGUGCUCAUCAGCGCGGCCUUCGUGCACCUCAAGCAGGCCGACCUGUCCAAGCACAUCCGGAACCUCUCCGCCGCCAGCCGCGCCAUCCUCCUCUCCGGCCCCACAGAGGCUUACCUGCAGUCGCUUGCCAAAGCUCUCUCCCACUACUACAAGGCCCGGUUGCUGCUCCUCGACGUCACCGACUUCUCCCUCCGGAUCCAGAGCAAGUAUGGGGGCUCCAGCAAGGCCUUGGUUCAGAACCAGUCCGUGUCCGAGACGACGUUCGGGAGGGUGUCCGAUUUCAUCGGAUCUUUCGCGAUGUUUCCAAAGAAGGAUGAGCCUAGAGAAUCAUUGCGUCGUCAGACAAGCAGUGCAGAUUCGAGAGCUAGAGGCUCUGAUGUUGCUAGCAAUGACCCUUUACUCCGGAAAAAUGCCUCCAUGCCAUCUGAUAUGAGCGACGUUGGAUCGCAGUGUUCUGUGCAUUCAGCUAGGCGAGCAAGUAGCUGGUCUUUCGAUGAGAAAGUUCUGAUACAGUCACUUUACAAGGUCAUGAUUUCUGUGGCUGAAAGCGAACCGAUUAUUCUUUACAUAAGGGAUGUUGACCACUUCCUUCACAGAUCGCAAAGAACUUACACCAUGUUCCAGAAAAUGUUAGCCAAGUUAUCCGGGCAAGUGCUGAUACUAGGAUCCCGGCUACUCAACUCUGACGCUGAGUACAGCGAUGUGGACGACAGAGUUAGUAGCCUGUUCCCUUAUCAUGUUGACAUUAAACCCCCACAGGAAGAAAUCCAUCUCAAUGGUUGGAAGACUCAAAUGGAAGAAGACGCAAGGAAAAUUCAGAUUCAGGACAACAGAAACCACAUCGUGGAGGUACUCUCGGCAAACGAUCUAGACUGCGAUGAUUUGAGCUCAAUCUGCCAAGCAGACACAAUGGUCCUCAGCAACUACAUCGAGGAAAUUAUCGUGUCGGCGGUCUCUUACCAUUUGGUUCAUACCAAGGAUCCUGAAUACAAAAAUGGGAAGCUCCUUUUGUCUUCCAAAAGUUUGUCCCAUGGAUUAAGCAUUUUUCAAGAAACUGGCCUUGGUGGGAAAGACACGCUGAAACUCGAAGCGAACGAGGAUGGUCUGAAAGGUGCACCUGGAUCUAAGAAACCUGAGAAUGAUAAAUCGCCGGGUAAAGAUGGCGACGCCCCACCGCCAAAACCAGAAAUACCCGACAACGAGUUUGAAAAGCGUAUCAGACCGGAGGUUAUACCACCCAGUGAGCUAGGAGUGACAUUUGAUGACAUUGGAGCCCUGGCUGAUAUCAAAGAGUCGCUUCAGGAGCUGGUCAUGCUUCCUCUUCGACGGCCCGACCUUUUCAAGGGAGGAGGACUUCUAAAGCCUUGCCGGGGAAUAUUGCUGUUCGGGCCACCUGGAACUGGCAAGACGAUGCUUGCUAAGGCUAUAGCAAAUGAUGCAGGUGCCAGCUUCAUCAAUGUGUCAAUGUCCACAAUCACAUCGAAAUGGUUCGGGGAGGACGAGAAGAAUGUCCGAGCAUUGUUCAGCUUGGCUGCGAAGGUGGCUCCUACUAUAAUCUUUGUGGAUGAGGUAGAUAGCAUGUUGGGGCAGCGCGCUCGCUGCGGUGAGCAUGAGGCGAUGAGGAAGAUCAAGAAUGAGUUCAUGAGCCAUUGGGAUGGCAUCUUGUCGAAGUCUGGCGAAAGAAUCCUCGUUCUUGCCGCGACAAAUCGACCGUUCGACCUUGAUGAAGCCAUCAUUCGGAGAUUCGAGCGCAGAAUCAUGGUUGGCCUUCCAACUCAGGAUAGCAGAGAGCUGAUUUUAAGGACAGUUUUGUCGAAGGAGAAGGUCGAUAAAGACAUCGAGUACAAGGAGCUUGCGACUAUGACCGAAGGUUACAGCGGCAGUGAUCUUAAGAAUCUUUGUGUGACAGCUGCUUACCGACCGGUUAGGGAGCUUCUGAAGAAAGAACGGUUGAAAGAGAUGGAAAGAAGGAAAACAGAGGCGGAACAGAAAACCGCCGCGGCAGCAGAGGAUUCAGACAAGCCAGAGAACAAGAAGGUGAGUUCAGAUAACAAAGAAAACAAUCCAGAGAAGGUGGAUUCAUCAGAUAGCAAAGAGGGCAGUUCAGAAAGCAAAGACGAUAGUUCAGAAACCAAGGCUGAAGGCGACAAGGAAGCGGUCGUCGAUCUUAGGCCGCUGACGAUGGAGGACCUGAGGCAGGCCAAAAAUCAGGUCGCCGCGAGCUUCGCCGCGGAGGGCGCUGUCAUGAACGAGCUGAAGCAGUGGAACGACCUCUACGGCGAAGGAGGGUCGAGGAAGAAGGAGCAGCUGACCUACUUUUUGUAG
rnacentral:rRNA from 1 species